rnacentral:sRNA from 1 species
UGAUAUUGCUCGGUAGACCGACGGUCAGA